GACGAACGCUGGCGGCGUGCCUAAUACAUGCAAGUCGAACGGUUUAGUUCCAAGAGGCUUGCCUUUGGAACUAGUCAGUGGCGGACGGGUGAGUAACACGUAGGCAACCUACCUGUCAAACCGGGAUAACCUUGGGAAACCGAAGCUAAACCCGGAUUAGCUCCUUUUUCGCACGAAGGGGUAGUGAAACGGUGCGACCUGAUGACAGUUGGGCCUGCGGCGCAUUAGCUAGUAGGUAGGGUAACGACCUACCUAGGCGAUGAUGCGUAGCCGACCGGAGAGGGCGUACGGCCACACUGGGACUGAGAUACGGCCCAGAAUGCGACGGGAGGCAGCAGUAGGGAAGCCUCGGCAAUGGGCGAAAGCCUGACCGAGCAACGCCGCGUGAGAGAGGAAGGCCUUCGGGUUGUAAAACUCUGUUGUGUGGGAAGAAGGGAAAGGGUAGGACCCUUAGGUGACGGUACCAAACGAGAAAGCCCCGGCUAACUACGUG
rnacentral:rRNA from 1 species